CCACAGCCGAGGUCACAAUCAACAUUCAUUGUUGUCGGUGGGUUGUGAGGACCGAGGCCAGACCCACCGGGGGAUGAAUGUCACUGUGGCUGGGCCAGACACGGCUUA